rnacentral:misc_RNA from 1 species
AUGCUUUUGUAUUUCUACAUCCUUUAUUCUCCAGAUUGGCACUACCGUAGUACAAUGCCCACCUUCUUGUUCUUAUACGGGGCUGCAUUUGCAGUUUUUCAUGCAUUGGUUCGUUUUGGAAUUGGUUUUAAGGUGCACUAUGCAAUCCUUUGUCUUCUCUGCAUACCCCGGAUGUACAAAUACUACAUUUACACAAAGGAUGUGUCCGCAAAGCGGCUUGCAAAAUUAUAUGUGGGUACCAUAUUCUUGGGGAGUCUUUGUUGGCUUUUGGAUCGCAUUCUCUGCAGUGAUAUUUCUCAGUGGUACUUCAACCCACAGGGACAUGCUUUAUGGCAUGUCUUCAUGGGCUUCAAUUCAUAUUUUGCUAACACUUUCCUGAUGUUUUGCCGUGCUCAACAGUUAGGGUGGAAUCCAAAAGUUGUCCACUUCGUGGGUUUUUUCCCAUAUGUUAAGGUUGAAAAACCGAAGACCCAGUGAGAGAUGCUAUCCCUCAUUUGGAGGUAGAUAUAUGGUUUUGGCA